rnacentral:rRNA from 1 species
AUUGAACGCUGGCGGCAGGCCUAACACAUGCAAGUCGAGCGAGCGGCGGACGGGUGAGUAAUGUCUGGGAAACUGCCUGAUGGAGGGGGAUAACUACUGGAAACGGUAGCUAAUACCGCAUACCAUCAGAUGUGCCCAGAUGGGAUUAGCUAGUAGGUGGGGUAAUGGCUCACCUAGGCGACGAUCCCUAGCUGGUCUGAGAGGAUGACCAGCCACACUGGGACGGAGACACGGUCCAGACUCCUACGGGAGGCAGCAGUGGGGAAUAUUGCACAAUGGGCGCAAGCCUGAUGCAGCCAUGCCGCGUGUAUGAAGAAGGCCUUCGGGUUGUAAAGUACUUUCAGCGGGGAGGCGUUACCCGCAGAAGAAGCACCGGCUAACUCCGUGCCAGCCGCCGCGGUAAUUC